UAACCACUAACAACUAAUAUCUAAUAGCUAAAAAGCUAGUAAAACAGCUGACAGUUACUAAAAUAGCUAACAGCUACUAAAACAGCUAAUUGCCGAACAAGUAAUGAUAUUAGAGUGUAUCUCAUACUCGACUAUCGAUUGAGCAUACUGAAGCCUGAGCAAAAGACAUGUUAGAGUUCUAAUAAAGCAAGUAAUUGCAUUUAACUAUCCUACAAUAAGACAUGACUUCAAAUCCUAAUAUUCACAAGAUUAACAUCAAUAGGGAAACCUAUCACAAGUAGUCUUCAAUCUCAUAGUGAACUCCAACAAGGAUCGUGGUUCCUCCACUAUAAAUAUACUCCUUGGAGGUAUGAAAACCUAAACUAGUCCUAUGAAUAUCCUUUUAUUGAGUGAAGUAUCUAACUUGAGCAUUGAAGUGGAACUUGCGGCCCAAGGCCAAGGGUCUUCUUUAAGCUUUUACCUUUGGUUGCAGGUAUUGGAAG
rnacentral:misc_RNA from 1 species